GACGAACGCUGGCGGCGUGCUUAACACAUGCCAGUCGAACGGAAAGGCCCUGCUUUUGUGGGGUGCUCGAGUGGCGAACGGGUGAGUAACACGUGAGUAACCUGCCCUUGACUUUGGGAUAACUUCAGGAAACUGGGGCUAAUACCGGAUAGGAGCUCCUGCUGCAUGGUGGGGGUUGGAAAGUUUCGGCGGUUGGGGAUGGACUCGCGGCUUAUCAGCUUGUUGGUGGGGUAGUGGCUUACCAAGGCUUUGACGGGUAGCCGGCCUGAGAGGGUGACCGGCGACAUUGGGACUGAGAUACGGCCCAGACUCGUACGGGAGGCAGCAGUGGGGAAUAUUGCACAAUGGGCGGAAGCCUGAUGCAGCAACGCCGCGUGCGGGAUGACGGCCUUCGGGUUGUAAACCGCUUUCGCCUGUGACGAAGCGUGAGUGACGGUAAUGGGUAAAGAAGCACCGGCUAACUACGUG
rnacentral:rRNA from 1 species